UACGGAGGGUGCGAGCGUUAAUCGGAAUAACUGGGCGUAAAGCGCGCGUAGGUGGUUGAGUCAGUCAGAUGUGAAAGCCCCGGGCUUAACCUGGGAACUGCACCUGAUACUGCUUGACUAGAGUACGGUAGAGGGCAGUGGAAUUUCCUGUGUAGCGGUGAAAUGCGUAGAUAUAGGAAGGAACACCAGUGGCGAAGGCGACUGCCUGGACCGAUACUGACACUGAGGUGCGAAAGCGUGGGUAGCAAACAGG
rnacentral:rRNA from 1 species